GAUGAAGAACGUAGCGAAUUGCGAUAUGUAAUGUGAAUUGCAGAAUUCAGUGAAUCAUCGAAUCUUUGAACGCACAUUGCGCCCAUUAGCAUUCUAGUGGGCAUGCCUGUUCGAGCGUCAUUUCAACCCUUAAGCCCUGUUGCUUAGCGUUGGGAGCCUACAGUACUGUAGCUCCCCAAAGUUAGUGGCGGAGUCGGUUUCACACUCUAGACGUAGUAAUUUUUUCUCGUCUGUAGUUGAGCCGGUCCCCUGCCGUAAAACACCCAAUUUAUCAAGGUUGACCUCGGAUCAGGUAGGAAUACCCGCUGAACUUAAGCAUAUCAAUAAGCGGAGGA
rnacentral:misc_RNA from 1 species